UUUCUAAUUAUUAUCGAAUUCAAAAGUUUUUUCCCCCUCGCUUUGAACGCGAAUAACAAAAAAACUACUUGGUAGAAAAAAUCGAGACCACCUUCGUUGGACGCGAAAUUUAAUUCUUUAUAAUGUGUGAUAAUUUCAAAUUUUUUCUACCACUCAUAUAGUAAUAGUCACAGGUAGAAUGACAAAAUGUACGCGAUUUCGUACAAUCGGCGAAGAAGCUCUAAAUUUCGACCACAUAUUGCCUAAAGUGUACUAAACAUGCCAGUAUUUUUAUUUUUUUAUUUUUCUAACCCAUUAAAAAAAAAACUACACUAUGUGAAAUAGUGAUAUCGCGUUAUUGCAUGAGAUUGAGGCUAACAUCACUCUAAUUGCCUUAUGAAAUUGAAUAGAACCCUAACCCUCAUUGUACAUGAAGUACUCAAUACGAUUUUAUAAUGGAGCGGGUGUGAGGAGCGGACAAAGUUUCCAAAGGGCCUCUUUAGUUUUAUGUGGCAGAGAGGCAUCUUUAAACGUAUCUGUAUAUCAUAAUAUUCGUUUAUUUAAGGUAAUAAAACUUGUUUGAUGUCGAAAAAAGUUGCUCAGUAACGCGCUCCAUACGUAUGUAUACGAGAGCUAUGCGCGCUUUACCUUUCAAUUGAGAAGCAAUGGUGAUUUUGAUACAGUGAAGUCGAUUUACAUCGUUGUUGUGAAAAGUGAGUGAAAGUGAACCCAAUUAUCGUUCAAGCCGUCCAUGUCGUCGGCGAUACGGUGGCAAUCAAUAUAACGUACAAAACCCUGAAAAGGACGAGGUACCGAAUAGUUCCGGAGCAAGUGCUUCAGCAAAAAAAUUGAAAGUGUCGGUGUGUGACGUCGUUCUUAAUUAUAGUUUUUGCUACCGGAUUAUAAAUAUACGUUUGUGGCGGAAGAAAGGAACACUAAGGGCCGGUUCUUCAGUCGCUAGAUAAACUCCAGUUAAAUAAAUCUCGGUAUAACUUGAAAAGUCAAUUCUCGUCAGUUUAAAGAUCGAUAUAUCGAGAACCGUCCGAUGAAAAAAAUCGCGGUUAGCUUUGUUCUAUUCACUGAACAUUUCUACGUAACAUAUGUGAAUUUGAAAAUUUCCGAGUCCGCGGUUUUCCUAAAAUCGCGAGUUAAAUGAAAAAAGUAGCCUAUUUUUGACGGUGCUGGCAACUUUGUCCACUUUGCGAUUUUUUUUGUCAAAAACUAUCCGACAAAAAAAAAUCAAAUUUGAACAAGUUGUACCCUGAUGUGUUCUUAAUGAUGUGCAUAUUUAAUUUUUUCGAUAUUCCAUAUAGUUUCGCGGAAAAUCGCGGUUUAGUAAGAUGCGGUAUAGUCGAAAACGGCUGGUUGGAUUUUAACGCGGUUUUAACCAAAAUGUGAACAAUUUACGCGAGCUAUAAAUUAAAAAGAAACGGAAAUAAGCCAUGCGGGGAGAGAGGGGUUCCGUUCAGUUGGAAAAGAUGGUGCUGGUGUGUGUGUUCCAGACUGGCUUCGACGUGGCGUACUGAAGUCUAGUCUGAAGGGAUUCCGGUAGACCACUCAAGACGCGUUAUAGAAUAAUUGUAUAUUAUGUAUUUAUAAUUAUUUUGUAUUUUUCUGUAGUAUUUGUUUAUUUCAUUUUGCCUUUACCAUUCACGCAUAUACCAUGUAAUAUAUUGUAAGAUAUUGAAAAAAAUACGCGUGAAGGUAAAAUGAAAUAAAUAAAUAUUAGAAACAGAUACAAAAUAAUUAUACGAAAAAUAUUCCAGGGCGCGGAAUGCGUCUUGAGCGUCUGUUACAUUCUGAGACGGAACUACCGGAAUCCCUUCAGACUUCAGUACGCCACGUAUUAUUGAUUACAUCAUAUACACCUGGAAUCUCCAAAACAGAUUCGAGGAGGUAAAGACGGAAGCAGAAGCAGAAAUGAGAACCAACUACAGACUAGUCAUGGCAACUAUUAAUAAUAUAGAAAUCGAAAGAGAAGGGAUGAAAACACGAAAAUAAACAUCCAUAAACUAAGGCAGGAGAAAGAAAGACUAAAAUACCAAAAAAAAAAAAAAAACGACGAUUUAAAAAACUAGAAUAAACAGAGAAUUUAACAGUAGAAGAAAUGUGGACAGUUUUUUAGAUAAUGCGAAAUAAAGCUAGGAGCCUGGAGGUGUGACGAAUGAGAAAAUAUAAUUAUUAGACAAAGAGAACACACUGGUGGAAUGAAGAGUCAUAGAAGAUACAUAAGAACGAAUUCGGAAGAGGAUAGAGCAAACUAUAGAACGAAGAGAGAUGUAGCUAAGCAUAUGGUAAUAUCUAUGUUCUAAGAAUAAUAAGAAAAUUGAAGGGAGAUCAAAGAAAACAAAUAAAAGCCGUCAAAGAUAAGAACAACGAGAUAAAGACAACUACAAGGGAAACUCUGGACAUAGGGGCGGAUUUUUAUGCAAAAAAGUUUAAGGAUGGAAAACAGACACAAACAAUCGAGGGGGGAAGAAAAGAUGAGAUAAGAGAAGACACUACAGACAUAGCAACUAAAGAGAGAACAAUAGAAAAAUUAGGAGAGGCAAUGAUGAAGAUGAAAACAGACAAAGCUUGCGGCAAAGACAAGAUCGACCCGGAGAUGAUAAAAUAUUUGGGAAUAAAAGGGAAGGAGUGGCUUCUAAGUAUAUAUAAAACCGCAUGGUAAGAUAAUAUCAUCUUACCAAUACAUAAAAAAGGAAGCUACUCGAACUGUGAAAAUUACAGAGCCAUAUGCCUAUCAUGUAGAAAUUACAAAUUAUACACAAAGAUAAUAGAAAAAAGGUUAAGAAGAGUAGUGGAAAAUAAACUAGAAGAUGAACAAUCAGCAUACAGAGCAAGCAAACAAACGAACUUUUCCUUGAAAGGAAAAUAGAGACUGGCAAUAAGCUAUACCUAAUAUUCUUAGACCUAAAAGCAGCUUUUGACACGGUUAACCAUAGUAUUAUAUGGAAAUGUCUAGAACAACUAAUGGUACCACAAAAAGUAACAAAAAUAAUUGAAAACUUGUACAAGAAAGUCAAGGGCAUAGUACAAAUGAAGGGGGAAACAUCAAAAACUUUUGAAAUUAACAAGGGAAUAAAACAAGGCGAUAGCCUAAGCCCCUUGUGAUUUAUAAUAUAGUGAUAAAAAAUACAAGAACAAGAACAAAUAAAUAUCAUACAGCAAUAGGUUAUGAACGUUUGGAACCAGUAAAAAUAAAUAAUUUACUAUAUGCUGACGACAUACUAAUAGUAGAGAAUCAUAAAAAGGCAAAAAAAUUAGUUGAAAUAUGGACAGAAGAAAUUGAAAAGAUGGGCCUAAAAUUGAACGUAAAUAAAUGUAAAAUCGUGAUAAUAAAUAAAAAGGGAAUAAGAAAUAACCCGAAAAAAAUAUUUAUUAAGGAACAAAAGAUAGAAGAACUAUCAUCAUAUGAGUACUUGGUCAGUAUAAUAUCACAAAAUGGAAGGAUAGAUUUAGACAUAAAUGCAAGAAUAAGAAAAACAAACAACGUAUAUCAUACUUUAAAUAGAACAAUUUUUGGGAAGAAGGAGAUAAAAAGAUAAAAUUGAAAGUGUAUAACGCGGUGGCAGUCCCAAUAUUAACAUAUGCCAGUGAAUCAUGGACACUCCAAGAUAAACAAGAAGGAAAGAUCACAGCAAUGGAAAUGAAAUCAGGCAUAAGGACCAGGAGAAGAAGAAGAGAAACUGCCGGAUUAUAGAAUUGGGACCGUGUUUUCUGUUAUUUCUGACAUAGCUGUUUGUAGAAGAUGUAAGCAAAAAUUAUCAUUCGGACAAUCAGGAGAGAGAGGACUUGGAUUUAAAAUAUCUGUAAGAUGCAUGUGCGGCACUAUUUAUUUACAGUAGUUUUGAGAUAAAUCGAAUUGUUAUUUUCGCUAUGAUACUAGGAGUAGCUCGAGAAGUAAUAAACAUGUUUUAUGGCAUAAUAGAUUUGGGAGCAAAAAAUCAUACGAAGGCAUAGUGCAGCAUAUAUAUGAGUCUACCAAAAAGGUUUUUGAUUUUUGUUGCAUAAGCGCUGUACAAAAUAAAAUAAAAUUAAAUGAAGAAAAUAAGAGAUCUGUUUUAACCGUUAGCGGUGAUGAUUCUUGGAAAAAGCGUGGAUUUACUGCUCUUUAUGGUGUAAUUACACUAAUAGCUUAUCACAUAGAAAAAGUAAUAGAUCUCGUUGUUAAAAACAGUGUUAUAAACAAAGAGAUUCGAACGAUCCAUCCAAGGAACGAGACUAUCAAAAUACAACAGUUUGCGAAAUAUUACCUUUAUUCUAAAUUUUUUUCUUGAUUAUUACGAAGAAAGGAUCGCGUGUAAACGUCAUGGAUCUGUGGAAUAGUGAUGGCACGGACAUUUAUUUCUGUUGACAAGACUUCGGUUUGAUGAUAAAUCAACAAGGAAUGAAAGGAAGAAAACGGAUAAGUUGGCUGCAAUCAAAUCAAUCCUUGAUUCCUUUUCCAAUAAUUGUAAAAAGAGCUAUAACGUCAGCAAAUAUGUAACCAUUGACGAAAUGUUGCACUCGUUUAGAGGUAGAUGUAGUUUUGUGCAAUAUAUACCAAGCAAACCUGCUAAAUACGGUAUAAAAAUUUUUGCCAUGUGCGAUGCAAAAUCUUUUGAUACCAGCAACCUUGAAAUUUAUUGUGGGCGACAACCAAAUGGAAUUAAAAACAAACGUGAAAUUCCUACGGAAUUUUUGGCAAAUAAAAAUCGUCAGUCUCAAUCGUCUUUAUUUGGCUUUCAAUAAGAUACUGUAUUAGUGUCUUAUGUCCCAAGAAAAAACAAAGUCGUUAUAAUAUUAUCAAUGAUGCACGACUUACCGGAAGUUGACGAAGAAUCACUUAAACCCGAAAUAAUUUUAAGUUAUAAUCAAACAAAAGGAGCAGUAGAUACAGUUGAUAAGAUGUGCGCUGCCUAUCGAAUAAACUCGCAAAUAUUGCAUUUCACAAAGCAUUCUGCGGGAGAUGAAGAAUUUUCUUAAGUAAUUUAGCGAUUGCUUUAAUGAAAGAGCAACUUAUUAUGAGAGCUCAAAUAAUUACGCUGCCAAAGAAUAUCGAUCGUUUUUGCAACUGUCCUAUAUGGGCGCUGAUUGCGGGAUGUCCGAAACACAGCCAACUCAAUCUAGAAAAGGGAGGUGUAAAUUGUAUACAAAUACAAAUAGUACACAAAAAUGCUGUAAAUGUAGGCAAUUCAUAUGUAAAAAAACACUCAAAAACAAUGAUAACUUGCUCGAAUUACGAAGUGCAUUCAGGCUCGGACUUAUAAAUGAUUUAUUAGUUGUCCAUUAUUUUAUAUCCAACAAAGAAAAAUAACACAUUUAAAAUUAAAGGUUUUUUUAAAUUUAUGCAUUUAGACAGAGAAAAAGCACACAUUGUAGGUGAGGUAAUUGAACCUAUCAUUAUUAAUAUUGAUGAUAAUGAAAAUUCUGAUGACAAUUUUUCGUCAAAUGAAGAUUCUUCAGAAGAAUCUAUGGUGGCAGUGUCGUCGAUGAUAACACCAACACUUGCAGUGUAGAAGAUACUUCGUAUGCUGGCCGUAGCAAUAGUACAGCGGGAGAACCUCGCUUUAACGAAUUAUUUGGUUUUGGUAGUAGAUUAUUAAGUAGUAUUGUAAAACCGGCACAAAAUAUACGUAUU